UCAUUGGAGAGUUUGAUCCUGGCUCAGGACGAACGCUGGCGGCGUGCUUAACACAUGCAAGUCAAGGGGGCUCCGCAAGGAGCAACCGGCGAACGGGUGCGUAACACGUGAGCGACCGACCCUUACGGAUGGGGGAUAGCCAGCCCAACGGCUGGGUAAUACCGCAUACGCUUCUUCUGGGGCAUCCCGGGGGAAGGAAAGCGCUCGAGGCAACUCGAGGGCGUCCGAGGACGGGCUCGCGGCCUAUCAGCUAGUUGGUGGGGUGAUGGCUCACCAAGGCGACGACGGGUAGCUGGUCUGAGAGGAUGGCCAGCCACAUUGGGACUGAGAAACGGCCCAGACUCCUACGGGAGGCAGCAGUGGGGAAUCUUGCGCAAUGGCCGAAAGGCUGACGCAGCGACGCCGCGUGUGGGAGGACGCCCUUCGGGGUGUAAACC
rnacentral:rRNA from 1 species